GCCCCAGCUUGCUGGGGUACACGAGUGGCGAACGGGUGAGUAACACGUGGGUGACCUGCCCCGCACUUCGGGAUAAGCCUGGGAAACUGGGUCUAAUACCGGAUAGGACCGCACCGUGAGGGUGUGGUGGAAAGUUUUUCGGUGUGGGAUGGGCCCGCGGCCUAUCAGCUUGUUGGUGGGGUAAUGGCCUACCAAGGCGGCGACGGGUAGCCGGCCUGAGAGGGUGGACGGCCACAUUGGGACUGAGACACGGCCCAGACUCCUACGGGAGGCAGCAGUGGGGAAUAUUGCACAAUGGGCGGAAGCCUGAUGCAGCGACGCCGCGUGGGGGAUGACGGCCUUCGGGUUGUAAACUCCUUUCACCAUCGACGAAGGUUUUCUGACGGUAGAUGGAGAAGAAGCACCGGCUAACUACGUGCCAGCAGCCGCGGUAAUACGUAGGGUGCGAGCGUUGUCCGGAAUUACUGGGCGUAAAGAGCUCGUAGGUGGUUUGUCGCGUCGUCUGUGAAAUUCCGGGGCUUAACUCCGGGCGUGCAGGCGAUACGGGCAUAACUUGAGUACUGUAGGGGAGACUGGAAUUCCUGGUGUAGCGGUGAAAUGCGCAGAUAUCAGGAGGAACACCGGUGGCGAAGGCGGGUCUCUGGGCAGUAACUGACGCUGAGGAGCGAAAGCAUGGGUAGCGAACAGGAUUAGAUACCCUGGUAGUCCAUGCCGUAAACGGUGGGCGCUAGGUGUAGGGGUCUUCCACGACUUCUGUGCCGU
rnacentral:rRNA from 1 species